UAAAUAUAUUUUUUCUUAUUUUUAUGUAGGUGCGUGUUGAAGGCUAUGACUAUGUAGGUGUGGGCAAUUCUACAAAUAAAAAAGAUGCUCAAACUAAUGCUGCCAGAGAUUUCUUAUUAUAUCUGGUGCGAAUAGGAAAACUCACUAAAGAUGAAGUACCUGUAGAAAUACCUUCUCAAACAUCUGAAGAUAAUCUGGAUGGAUCAGGUGCUGGUUCUUUACCUCCAGGUGUUGCUCCUCCUCCUCACGAAACUCUUGGUAAUGAGUUUACUAUUAGAAAGGAGGCUGAUACAAUUGGUAAUUAUCUUCCAUAUCAACAAGGACCGCCACCAGAAUAUUUAGACAGAGUAGCAGAAAAACGAAGACUAGAAGAGGCAGAAGAUUUGGAUGUUAACUCUGCUAUUCAUGGAAAUUGGACUCUUGAAAAUGCCAAAUCUAAACUUCAUCAGUUCUUCCAAGUUAAUAAAAUCAGUGCAGAAUACAAAUAUAGUCAAGUUGGACCAGAUCAUAACAGGUUUUGUUUUUAAGAAUAUACAUAUAAAAAAU